rnacentral:rRNA from 1 species
AUUGAACGCUGGCGGCAGGCCUAACACAUGCAAGUCGAACGAGUGGCGGACGGGUGAGUAAUGUCUGGGAAACUGCCUGAUGGAGGGGGAUAACUCCUGGAAACGGUAGCUAAUACCGCAUACCAUCGGUUGCGCCCCGAUGGGAUUAGAUAGUAGGUGGGGUAAAGGCUCACCUAGGAGACGAUCCCUAGCUGGUCUUAGAGGAUGACCAGCAACACUGGAAAUGAGACACGGUCCAGACACCUACGGGAGGCAGCAGUGGGGAAAAUGGCACAAGGGGCGCAAGCCUGAUGCAGCCAUGCCGCGUGUAUGAAGAAGGCCUUCGGGUGGUAAAGUACUUUCAGCGGGGAGGCGUUACCCGCAGAAGAAGCACCGGCUAACUCCGUGCCAGCAGCCGCGGUAAUUC